rnacentral:tRNA from 1 species
GUCCCCAUAGCUCAAUGGACAGAGCAGCGCUCUUCUAAGGCGUUGAUCCGGGUUCGAAUCCUGGUGGGGACA